rnacentral:lncRNA from 1 species
AAAAAGUUAUUCAAUUACUCGGUCAAGACUCCUUGCUAUGAAGAUUGCAAGGAAUGCCCCUCCAAGAUUGUUUGACAAAUUCACAAGCUGCUCACCUGCAUGAGCCUAAACUAUACAUGGCACCAAUGAUCCUCGUUCGCACGAGCCUAAAAGGUGACAACCAAAGCUCCUUGUCCGCACGAGCAUAAAAGGCGACACCAGACGCUCCUUGCCUGCACGAGUUGAAACUGAAAAUGGCACCAAGAUGCUCCUGGCCCGCAAGAGCAUAAACUGCGUACGGCACAAAAAAAAAUCCAAAAAAAAUCUAUGUUUGAACUACGUUUCGACUUGACCUCUUCGUUGGAGGGGUAUGUAGGCAGCUUGAACAUUCAACUUCGAGUUCAGUCACAUCAAAAUAAAAAAAUAUGGAUUUGAUUAAAGGAGUCAAUUUUAUUACAAAUUUAUUUUGCCAAAAAUAAUUGAAC